rnacentral:rRNA from 1 species
AGGACUUCGCAUGGAGAAAGUCUGACCGAGCAACGCCGCGUGAGUGAAGAAGGUUUUCGGAUCGUAAAACUCUGUUGUUAGAGAAGAACGUUGCAUAGAGUGGAAAAUUAUGCAAGUGACGGUAUCUAACCAGAAAGGGACGGCUAACUACGUGCCAGCAGCCGCGGUAAUACGUAGGUCCCGAGCGUUGUCCGGAUUUAUUGGGCGUAAAGCGAGCGCAGGUGGUUUAAUAAGUCUGAUGUAAAAGGCAGUGGCUCAACCAUUGUGUGCAUUGGAAACUGUUAGACUUGAGUGCAGUAGAGGAGAGUGGAAUUCCAUGUGUAGCGGUGAAAUGCGUAGAUAUAUGGAGGAACACCGGUGGCGAAAGCGGCUCUCUGGACUGUCACUGACACUGAGGCUCGAAAGCGUG